GAGAGCCGGAUGCGGGAAAUCCGCACGUCCGGUUCGACGAGGGGGGACUGAGCGGCUGCGUAGUUGCUCAGUCCUCUACUCUAC
rfam:Planctomycetes bacterium RBG_16_55_9 RBG_16_scaffold_80781, whole genome shotgun sequence.